GGAAGUGUCCGCCUACUUGCGUGAAUUUAAUAUUUCUAACUUCAGGCGAUGUGCAAUGUGCCUCAUUAUGGGACUGCCGCGUUGGCUGUCGGUGUGCUGCCGGGUACGUACGAGACGAAUAUUCCAAGAGAUGUGUAUUAGUGCAGCAAUGUCCAGCUAUGUCAACGUGCCCACCCGGUGAAGUUAUGGGAUCAAAUCUACAAUGCAUAACGAGACGACGAACAACCAAAACAAAUGAAUCUCAUUGGGAACACUACGAUGAUUGAUAAUACUGUUUUUUCACAUCAUAAAACGCACAAUUGUUUGAUAAAAUUCACAAAGAUUAUUGUUCGUAUUGAUUUAUUUUUACAAUAUAUCGAGUAGUACAAAAUCUUCAAAUGUCAGAAUAAAUCAUAAUCGGAAAUUAUCAGAUAACUAUUUCAAGUUUGGCAUGUUAAUAAACGUAAGACGUCAAUCUUUGUUUUUCUGUAUAUGUAAGAAAGUUAAUAAUGUGUUUGUUCCUUAAAAAUAAAUAAAUAAAAAUGUGUUUGUUCCAAG
rnacentral:misc_RNA from 1 species